rnacentral:rRNA from 1 species
GACGAACGCUGGCGGCGUGCCUAAUACAUGCAAGUAGAACGCUGAAGGAGGAGCUUGCUUCUCUGGAUGAGUUGCGAACGGGUGAGUAACGCGUAGGUAACCUGCCUGGUAGCGGGGGAUAACUAUUGGAAACGAUAGCUAAUACCGCAUAAUAGUAGAUGUUGCAUGACAUUUGCUUAAAAGGUGCAAUUGCAUCACUACCAGAUGGACCUGCGUUGUAUUAGCUAGUUGGUGGGGUAACGGCUCACCAAGGCGACGAUACAUAGCCGACCUGAGAGGGUGAUCGGCCACACUGGGACUGAGACACGGCCCAGACUCCUACGGGAGGCAGCAGUAGGGAAUCUUCGGCAAUAGACGGAAGUCUGACCGAGCAACGCCGCGUGAGUGAAGAAGGUUUUCGGAUCGUAAAGCUCUGUUGUAAGAGAAGAGCGAGUGUGAGAGUGGAAAGUUCACACUGUGACGGUAUCUUACCAGAAAGGGACGGCUAACUACGUG